rnacentral:tRNA from 1 species
CCGACCUUAGCUCAGUUCUCAGUUGGUAGAGCAGAGGACUGUAGAUCCUUAGGUCUCUGGUUCGAAUCCCGCAGGUCGGA